rnacentral:rRNA from 1 species
AGCGAACGCUGGCGGCAGGCCUAACACAUGCAAGUCGAACGAACUCUUCGGAGUUAGUGGCGGACGGGUGAGUAACACGUGGGAACGUGCCUUUAGGUUCGGAAUAACUCAGGGAAACUUGUGCUAAUACCGAAUGUGCCCUUCGGGGGAAAGAUUUAUCGCCUUCAGAGCGGCCCGCGUCUGAUUAGCUAGUUGGUGAGGUAAAGGCUCACCAAGGCGACGAUCAGUAGCUGGUCUGAGAGGAUGAUCAGCCACAUUGGGACUGAGACACGGCCCAAACUCCUACGGGAGGCAGCAGUGGGGAAUCUUGCGCAAUGGGCGAAAGCCUGACGCAGCCAUGCCGCGUGAAUGAUGAAGGUCUUAGGAUUGUAAAAUUCUUUCACCGGGGACGAUAAUGACGGUACCCGGAGAAGAAGCCCCGGCUAACUUCGUG